GGAGUUAGCCGGUGCUUCUUCUGUGAGUGAUGUCCUUCCUGCCGGCUAUUAACCCGCAGGCCUUCUUCCUCACUGAAAGUGCUUUACAACCCGAAGGCCUUCUUCACACACGCGGCAUGGCUGGAUCAGGGUUGCCCCCAUUGUCCAAUAUUCCCCACUGCUGCCUCCCGUAGGAGUCUGGGCCGUGUCUCAGUCCCAGUGUGGCUGAUCAUCCUCUCAGACCAGCUACGGAUCGUCGCCUUGGUGAGCCGUUACCUCACCAACCAGCUAAUCCGACAUAGGCUCAUCCGAUAGCGCGAGGCCCGAAGGUCCCCCGCUUUCCCCCGUAGGGCGUAUGCGGUAUUAGCCUGGGUUUCCCCAGGUUAUCCCCCACUACCGGGCAGAUUCCUAUGCAUUACUCACCCGUCCGCCGCUCGCCACCAGGGAGCAAGCUCCCCGUGCUGCCGCUCGACUUGCAUGUGUUAGGCCUGCCGCCAGCGUUCAAUCUGAGCCAGGAUCAACUCUGA
rnacentral:rRNA from 1 species